AGCAGCCGCGGUAAUUCCAGCUCCAAUAGCGUAUAUUAAAGUUGUUGCAGUUAAAAAGCUCGUAGUUGAAUUUCGGGAUUUGUCAGUUGGUCGGGCUUCACUGCCGUAUUGACUUGAUGGAUUCUUACCUUCUGAAUAACCAGCAUGCUAUUAAUUUAGUGCGUUGGGGAAGCAGAUCUAUUACCUUGAAAAAUUGAGUGCUUAAAGCGAGCUAGUGCUUGAAUAGAUUAGCAUGGAAUAAUAAAAUAGGACGGCAUGGUUCUAUUUUGUUGGUUUCUAGGAUCACCGUAAUGAUUAAUAGGGAUUAGUUGGGGGCAUUAGUAUUCAAUUGUCAGAGGUUGAAAUUCUUAGGAUUUAUUGAAGUACUAAACUUCUGCGAAAGCUAUUUGCCAAGGAUGUUUUACAUUAAUCAAGAACGAAAGUUAGGGGAUCGAAGACGAUCAGAUACCGUCGUAGUACUUAACCAUAAACUA
rnacentral:rRNA from 1 species